rnacentral:misc_RNA from 1 species
CCGAGUUAGGGUGUCAACUCUUUUGCGCCCGACCUCCAACCCUUUGUCUACUUAACCAAACGUUGCUUCGGCAGGCCCGCCGGACUGGCUUAACAGCGGUCCGGCCGCCGGGGGUCGAGAGACCCCGGGCCCGCGCCUGUCGAUGGCCCCCCCUAAAACUACUGCCGAAACGUGUCGUCUGAGUCUUUAUGAUUUAAAAAUCAAAAACA